AAAAAUUUAAAUUCCAAAACUUGAGGAUAAUUUUUGAAACCUUUCAAAACAAUAAGGUUUAACUAUUUAAAUUUCCAAAACAAAACUUUUUAAGUUCAAAUUUAAACUAUUAAACCUAAAGGGUGUAAAUUGAAACUUUUCAAACUUACUAGGUCAAUUAUUUAUCUAAUAAUAAUCCUAUAUUAUCCAUAUUUAACCAAACACAUCAAUUUUGAUAAGGAUAAACAUUCCAAACAUAAAAAAUCGAUUUUACGCAAUAAAAACGAGUUUUGGUAAUUAUCCCCAUCAAAAUUUGGCCAGAAAUUCGAAAAUCCCGUCAACAGAAUAGCCAACUCGUCGAGUCCUCUUUGGAACUCGUCGAGUUCAUGUAACUCGUCGAGUUCUAAGAGCAACUCAGCGAGUUCAUCAAACAGUGAGCAAAAUUUUUUGAUUUUCAGAUCGUUGGCAGUCCAAUUAUGCAUCUAUUCAAUAGAAAAACGACCUAGGCUCUGAUACCACUGAUGGGUUUUGGACAAUACAUCAAUCUUAUGGUGUAUAUGUAACGCCUGUGUUUCCGGGCUUGCCAUUUUUAGCAAUGUAAUAGUCUAGGUUAACCUCUGUAACCCGUUUUGAAAUAANUGUAUUAUUUGAGUAUUAUGUGUUUUGUGCUUAAUUGCUUAAUUAUGUGGUUUGAUUAAUUAAGAAUAAAAAUAAGCGUCAAAAUUUAAGUGUAAAAUAAACUUAAUAUCUUUGGUUAAUGUUGUAGUAAUUGAAACGAGGUUUCCGAAUAUAUAUAGAACGCCCAAAUCUGACUUCGUAUGCGGAAGUUAUGAUUUAUCGAAGUUCCGGCUUAGCGGUAUAUAGCCUGUUUUACUCGAUUUGAGAUCGAGCGGUUGUUAGCCGAAGCAAUCUAAAUGAGAAUCGAAGAUCUCAUUGUUGGUAUUGAAACGAUAAAAAGUUAGGCGAGAACGGACGUCAAACGAAGAAGUUAUGAAUUUAUAACGAAAGUUUCUGUCCCGGCCUAUUAAAAAUAAUUAAUAAAAAUAAAGUCAAAAUUAGCCGACGGAGUCUAAACGAAAGUCGUAGAGCAUGGUCUCACCUUUCCGUGGAUAUAAAGAACGUCGAAAACGGAGUUCGUAUGAAGAAGUUAUGAAUUUCCGAAGUUUAUUAAUCAUUUUGUAUUUAAAUUUAAAUCAAAAUUCGGAAGCAUUAUCCGAAGGAGUCACCGAUCUGAUCCGAGGUACGCCCCGCGUACUCGAGUACGCCCCGCGUACUCCGAGGGAUGUCGACACUCGCACUCGAGCACUUCGGAUACGUAAGCAAUGACGUUUUGGGCAGUACGCCCCGCGUAACGCAGUACGCCCCGCGUACUCCGAGGCUCCAGCCUCCUAUAAAUAGGAUGCGAGGGUUCCGGGUAUUUUUGCCAAUUCCCUCUCGUUUUCGUGUCGAAGCUCUGUGCAAAAACCCCCGAAGCUACCCCGAAGUCCCGGUAUCAUACUCUAGCCCCGAGGCAAGUCCCGAGAUCCCGAAGAUCCCGAAAAGUGCGGUUCCCGAGUCGAAGCUCUGCCCGCGAGAAGUUCGAUUUUCGAGAAGAUCUUCCAGAUCUGCUGUGGAUUACUACUUCUAUAAGCCGUAGUGCUGUCCGAUCAUCUUCUGAUCAAGUGAGUGUGUAGUUAUUUCUUCUAAUACAAUAAUACGAAGUAUUUUAUAUAAAAAUACGUGCUAUGUGUAUAUAUUUGGUUGUGUUAUGUGUGAAUGAGUAUUCACUCUCUUCUAUCUUAUAGAUCUGCUUAUUUCUUUAUGAGAUAUGUGUUAUGUGUGUGUGUGCCUCAUCUGUUAUGUGAUAUAUGUGUUGAUUAAAGCAUGCUAUACAGGUUUUCUUUAAACUAUGUAUACAAAUGUAUAUUUUUAUCUACUAAUAUGUUGGGUAGAACAUGGGUAGACAGUUGGUGUGUAAUAAACAGAUGAGAGGCCUCGUUGUUGUUUGAUUGAGUCAUCUAGCGGAGUUUAGAUGACGACCACUGGCUAUUCUAGACAGUCUUGUGGAAACAUUAGCAGGUUCGCCACCUGUAGGUGUUAAUGAACUUGGGUGUUCAUUCGCUGUACUCCAUCCCCCUCAUGGUUGCCUUAUUUGACUUAUAUUGCUGAGGUACCCCCGAAGCAUGUGUUGUCGCCCCGAUGAAAUAUUCUUAGACUAGGUCCCUUAUGUUAGUUGUUUUAGGGACAUUAAAGUGAGAAUAACGGGAAUGGGUAAUUGGGUUAUUGUUGGUUGGUGAAAAUUAAAUAUGAUAUUUAUUGUGGGUUGAAAACCCUAUAUGCUCACCAGGCUCCCAAGCCUGACCCACUCAGUUUUAAAUUGUAUUACAGGUAGUGGCGGAAGGGCAUGAGAUGGAUGAACCAUCAAGUUGUUUUGUUUACAAGUCUGCAUAUGUUUAUAUUUGUUAUAUGACUUGUAAUGUAUUCGUUUAUGCUUAUUGGUCUGUAUCGGAACAUGACACCCCGAGUUUUGAUUAUAAUGAAAAUACAUUUCUUUUAUGAAAUGCUUCGGUAAACAAUGUUUUAUCAUGUUUUGUUUUUGGGAACAAAUUCCGCAACUCUUUCAAAUCAAAAGGAUUUACUCUGAAAAUAUUUAAAAGCAUAAAUGAAAAUCGGUCUUUUCUGGCCGAGAUUUUGGGGAUGUCACAGUUGGUAUCAGAGCAUUAGUUUAAGCGAACUAGGAAUUUGUAGGAUUUCUAGACUUAAACUUAGAAUGCUAAGUGAAGUUUUGAGAUGUGUGUCUGUUGUGUUUUAGACACGAGCACUAGUUUAUUUUAGGAAAGUUGCCUAAAAUGCUUUAUGUGCUAAAUGUUAUAUGUUGCCAUAUAUGAUAUUAUUUGUUCGGAUCUAUGGUCUGUUGCCGACCGGAUCUAGAAACCUUAUGUGUGUAGGAUUCUAAGCGUACGUCUACGAUAUUAGAACUAGCAUGUAAACGUUUCGGAGUGAUAAGGAUGAUUUGAAUAUCUAUCAUGAUUGAGGAUCUAAUUUCACCUUAUUCGGGGUGUAGAUCAAAAUGGUGAGAACAAGAAGUGGAGUUGGAAAUGCUGACGAAAACAGGAAUCAACCACCAGUGAUUGAGCCAAUACCUGUCGUAGCAGCAGCACCUGAGCCAAUAACCAUGGCUGGUGUGCAAUUGAUGAUUCAGACGAUGUUGGAUCGUCAGAUGGAUGAAACUAGACGGUUGCUUCAACAAAAUCGUGAAGAACUGUCGAUUCGUGUGGAAGAGCCUGAAUUAAAUGAAGGGCACUCGGAAGGUGGAAACUUCAGUGGGUCUGUUGGUCCAGCCAACCCACCGAUAGUUAGGCAAGAUAACCAUGAAGGAAGGAAUGAUGGAAUGGGAUGCAAGUACAAGGACUUUUUGACUUGCAAACCAUCGACCUUCAAUGGAAAGGAGGAUCCGAUUGGGGUUAUGGAUUGGAUCUCCGAAAUGGAGUUAGCCUUUAUGACAUGUGGCUGCAGAGGUAAGUUGCAGACUAUCUAUGCCGUGCGACAAUUCCGAGGUGGAGCCGUUCGUUGGUGGAACACUCUAGGGAAGACCUUAAGCCCUAAUGAGCCACUGCAAUUGUCAUGGGCAGAGUUCUUGGUGCAGUUCAAGCGCAAGUUCUGCUCGGCUCAAAAUCUGUUGGAGUUGGAGAAUAAGUUUUUGACAUUGACGAAGGGUAGCAUGUCAGUUGAUGAAUACACCAAUAACUUCACCGAUAAGAUGGAGUUUGCCUUGCGUAUCGUUCCAGACGAGCUGACAAAGGUGGAUCGGUAUGCGAAGGGACUUCCAUGGGAGUACGAGGUGCCGGUACGUCAGGCACUUACUCUAGAGGCAGCUAUCUGGGCUGCCAAGUCUGUGGAGAACAUGAUCAAGGGGAGAACCACCGUCAAGGUUGAGGUUGGUGAGAAAAGGAAGUUUGAAGGAACAUCUGGUUCCAGUAAGAAGAGCAAAUUUUCGAAAUCUGAUUCGAAAAAGUUUGGAGGAAAAGGAGGCGAAGCAAAGUGGUGUGAUAAGUGUAAGAAAAAGCACUUUGGGAAAUGUAGCGAGGAUGUGACCUGCUACAAGUGUGGAAAGGUUGGACAUUUUGCCAAUGAAUGUCCGAACAACAAAAGGAUGUGUUUUGGUUGUAAUGAAGAGGGGCAUAUUUUGAAAGACUGUCCGAAGAAGAAGGAGGCAGCUAGGCCCAACAUUCCACCAAAGCCGAAGGCGAGAGCCUUCCAGAUGACACUUGAGGCUGCGAAAGAUGAAGCUGAUGUCGCUUCAGGUACCUUUCUCGUAAACGAAUUACCUGCUCAUAUAUUGUUUGAUUCUGGAGCCAACUACUCCUUUAUUUCGCAUGAGUUUGGUAGAAAGCUAGCUUUGCCUGUUGAUAGACUAAAUAAUGCUUUAUUAGUCGAAGUAGCUAGUGGCAAGUUUGUACCUGUUAGCCAUCGUAUGAAAAACGUCUUGAUCGACCUUAAUGGGAAUAAGUUUCUCGAGGAAUUAUUGCCUAUCGAACUAAAUGGUUUCGACAUCGUCUUGGGAAUGGAUUGGCUUAGCGCCAAUGAUGCCGAAAUUUUGUGCAAGAAGAAGAUAGUUAAAGUAAACCCGCCUGGAAAAGAUUCGUUUAUGGUGUAUGGGGACAAACGCAGAGUGAAUUCUGGAAUCAUUUCUCUAAUGAAAGCCAGAAAGUGUUUGACCAAGGGAUGUACAUCAUAUUUAGCAUUCGUGAUUGAUGCUAAGAAAGAAAAGAAGGUGAUGCAGAGCAUUCCAGUGGUGUGUGAUUAUCCGGAAGUAUUUCCCGAGGAUCUUCCUGGAUUACCACCUGAUAGACAAGUGGAGUUCAGAAUAGACUUGUUACCAGGAACCACGCCAAUAGCAAAAGCACCUUAUCGAUUAGCACCGACGGAGAUGAAGGAGCUAAUGAUGCAACUUCAGGAGUUAUUGGACAAAGGUUUCAUUAGACCUAGUUCAUCGCCCUGGGGAGCUCCGGUGUUAUUUGUAAAGAAGAAAGAUGGAAGUAUGAGAAUGUGCAUCGAUUACAGAGAGCUGAACAAGGCAACAAUAAAGAAUAGAUAUCCGUUGCCGAGGAUUGAUGACCUGUUUGAUCAAUUGCAAGGUUCGAGCUAUUUCUCGAAGAUCGAUCUUAGGUCAGGAUAUCAUCAGCUGAAAGUAAGAGAGCAAGAUAUCGAGAAGACUGCAUUCAGAACUAGAUAUGGACACUACGAGUUCUUGGUUAUGUCGUUUGGACUAACCAAUGCUCCAGCAGCGUUCAUGGAUUUGAUGAAUAGGGUUUGUAAUCCUUUCCUUGAUAAAUCCGUGAUAGUGUUCAUAGACGACAUUCUGAUCUACUCGAAAAGCCAGGAGGAGCAUGGCAGACACUUGCGAGAAGUGUUAGAAGUUUUGAAGAAGGAGAAGCUUUAUGCGAAGUUCUCCAAAUGUGAUUUUUGGAUUCGUGAAGUCCAAUUCUUGGGUCACGUGGUCAACCAAGAAGGGAUAAUGGUUGAUCCAGCGAAGAUCGAAGCUGUGACGAAGUGGGAACAACCGAAAAGUCCCACGGAGAUUCGAAGCUUUUUAGGAUUAGCCGGAUAUUACCGAAGGUUUAUCCAAGGCUUUUCUUCGAUUGCUACUCCAUUAACAGCUUUGACCCACAAAGGAGCUACUUAUGCUUGGAGUGAGAAGCAUAAAGAAGCAUUCGAGAAGUUAAAGAAGAAGCUAUGCGAGGCACCGAUACUUUCUCUACCCGAUGGAGUUGAAGACUUCGCUGUUUAUAGCGAUGCGUCUGGUGUUGGAUUGGGUUGUGUUUUGACCCAAAGAGAAAAGGUGAUAGCAUAUGCGUCUCGACAGCUGAAAGAGCAUGAAAAGAAUUACCCGACUCAUGAUUUGGAGUUGGCAGCGGUAGUUUUCGCUCUGAAAAUAUGGAGGCAUUACCUCUAUGGCACGAAGUGCAAACUUUUCACUGAUCAUAAGAGUCUCCAAUACCUCUUUAAUCAGAAAGAAUUGAAUAUGAGGCAACGACGCUGGCUAGAAUUACUUAAAGACUACGACUGCGAGAUACUUUACCACCCCGGUAAAGCUAAUGUUGUUGCUGAUGCUCUCAGUCGGAAGGUCAAUCUUGAAAGGAAGAGGCCAAGAGCGUUGAGAAUUGAAGUUGUCUCGACCAUUGUGGAAAGUAUAAAGAAAGCUCAAGAGGAAGCUUCUGAGAAAAAUGACCGAAAGGAGGAACGUUUGGGUAAAACGUUGGUGUUUGGUACUAACGGUCAUGGACUGAAGGUAUUCCAAGAUCGUAUUUGGGUACCUAAGUCAGGAGGAAUUAGAGAUCUUCUGAUGGAAGAAGCUCACAAGACCAUGUACUCGAUUCAUCCGGGUAGCACUAAAAUGUAUAGGGACCUGAAACCCUACUACUGGUGGCCGACGAUGAAGCUUGAUGUUGCAAAGUAUGUGGCCGAGUGUGUGACUUGUGCGAGAGUCAAGACACAACAUCAGAAACCGUACGGGAGUUUAGAACCUUUGCCUGUGCCUAUGGGUAAGUGGGAAGACAUUGCUAUGGAUUUUGUCACUAAACUGCCCAGAACAAAGAAUGGUCACGACAUGAUUUGGGUGGUCGUUGAUCGAUUCACUAAGAGUGCGCAUUUCAUAGCGGCCAGGGAGAAAUGGUCUAUGGAAAAGCUUGCGAAUUCUUACGUGAAGGAAAUUGUGAGGCUUCACGGUGUUCCGUUAACGAUUGUAUCGGAUCGUGAUAGCCGUUUCACCUCAAGGUUUUGGAAAAGUCUACAAGAGGAAAUGGGUACCAAGUUAUGUUUAAGCACAGCUUACCAUCCGCAGACUGAUGGUCAGAGUGAAAGAACAAUACAAACACUUGAAGAUAUGCUGAGAGCAUGUACCUUGGAAUUCCUAGGUAAUUGGGAUGAACAUUUACCGUUGGUAGAAUUUUCCUAUAAUAAUAGUUUUCACUCGAGCAUUAAGAUGGCACCUUAUCAAGCUUUGUAUGGACAGAAGUGUCGUACGCCGUCUUGUUGGCUUGAGGCUGGGGAAAAGCAGUUUAUGGGACCGGAGUUGGUUCAUCAAACUGCUGAAAAGUUGAAAAUAAUUAGGGAAAGAAUGUUAGCAGCUCAAGAUCGUCAAAAGAGCUAUGCUGACAAGAAGCGAAGACCGAUGACUUUUGAGGUUGGAGAUUCGGUUUUGCUUAAAGUCUCGCCGUGGAAGGGACUUAUAAGAUUUGGUAAAAGGGGAAAGUUGAGUCCAAGGUUUAUUGGACCGUUUAGAGUCCUUCAGAGGAUUGGGAAUCAAGCUUACAAGCUCGAAUUACCCGAAGAACUGAAUGGAAUUCACAACACCUUUCAUGUGUGUUAUUUGAGGAAGUUCACGGGAGAAGUUCCCGAUAUAAUUCCAAUUUCUGAAUUGAGAAUUGAUGAGAACAAAAGGUUGAUUGAAGAACCAGAGGCAAUUGUUGACCGAAAGACUAAGAAGUUGCGACGCAAAAUGGUUGGGUUAGUGCUUGUCCGAUGGAAACACACGAAUGGGCCGAAUCUCACCUGGGAGACGGAGAGUGACAUGUUGAGUCGCUAUCCGCAUUUGUUUGUUGAUGUGUGAUUCCGGGGACGGAAUCAUUCUAAGGUGGAGAGAAUUGUAACGCCUGUGUUUCGGGCUUGCCAUUUGUAGCAAUGUAAUAGUCUAGGUUAACCUCUGUAACCCGUUUUGAAAUAAUAAG
rnacentral:lncRNA from 1 species